AAAGAGAUGGCGGGCCUCGCUGCCCCCGUCCCUCACCCUUUGUUGACCGAAAAACCUUUUUGCCUCGGGGGCCGUGUGGCCACGGCCGCCGCUCCCAGAGGACCAACCAACGCUGUCUCUGUGUGUCGGAGUACAUGAUUGAAUAAUCA
rnacentral:misc_RNA from 1 species